UACGGGGGGGGCAAGCGUUGUUCGGAAUUACUGGGCGUAAAGGGCUCGUAGGCGGCCAACUAAGUCGGAUGUGAAAUCCCCAGGCUCAACCUGGGAACUGCAUCCGAUACUGGAUGGCUUGAAUUCGGGAGAGGGAUGCAGAAUUCCAGGUGUAGCGGUGAAAUGCGUAGAUAUCUGGAGGAAUACCGGUGGCGAAGGCGGCAUCCUGGACCGACGAUUGACGCUGAGGAGCGAAAGCCAGGGGAGCAA
rnacentral:rRNA from 1 species